UGAGGAAUUAUGCGCAAUGGACGAAAGUCUGACGCUGCGACGUCGCGUGGGUGAUGAAGGUCUUCGGAUCGUAAAACCCUGUCGAGAGGGAAGAAAGAGCGGGCGCUAAUAUCGCCUACUUCUGACGGUACCUCUGGAGGAAGCCCCGGCUAACUCUGUGCCAGCAGCCGCGGUAAUACGAAGGGGGGCUAGCGUUGUUCGGAUUUACUGGGCGUAAAGCGCGUGUAGGCGGGUCGUUAAGUUGGAUGUGAAAUCCCCGGGCUCAACCUGGGAACUGCAUUCAAAACUGACUGACUAGAGUAUGGUAGAGGGUGGUGGAAUUUCCUGUGUAGCGGUGAAAUGCGUAGAUAUAGGAAGGAACACCAGUGGCGAAGGCGAGUCCCUGGACAACUCCUGACACUGAGGCACGAAAGCUAGGGGAGCAAACAGGAUUAGAUACCCUGGUAGUCCCUGAGCGGGCUGGCAAGGCGCAU
rnacentral:rRNA from 1 species